rnacentral:lncRNA from 10 species
ACAGGAUCUCGCUGUGUUGCCCGGGCUGGUCUCAAACUUCUGGACACAAACAAUCCUCCACAUUGGCCUCCCAAAAUGCUGGAAUUACAGGUGUGAGCCACUGGACCAGCAGGACUCUAAAUUUUGGUGCUCAAAAAACAUUUGUUGAGUAAGUGAACCUGAGACUAUCAACAAGCAUUAUUUUAAAAUCACUAGCAAAGGGUCAGAUGAAAGUGAGAUCCAUACAUCCUUCUUCAGCAACUUGUGCCUCUGCUCUGCACCUCCCGCAAUUAACUACUGAAAAAAGAACACAGCUUCACAAAAGAGAUUGUAAAAUCAGGAAGUAUAUCUAAGUCACCUCCAGUAGCCGUAACUCUACCUUGUCCAGUAAAAGGAUAAUUCUGGCAGCUAUUGAAAACAGACUGAAGAGAAGAAAGAAGAUUUGGAGGAAUAUGUAUCCAAGAUUGAUGAUGGUGGCUCAGAUCAGUGCUGCUUGUUGCUGACGUUUCUGCCCAAACAUCAUGAAAUGUGGAGAAGAAAGAACACUCAGAUGUGCCCUGGAGACUUUCCUUUUAUUUUUAAACAGUUUUUUUUUCCAUUGGGUUUGACCAACUCUAUAUUCGACUUGAACAAAUCCGAAGGAAAGCUUCCAAUUAUGGGGAACAAGUCCUCUGAAGUGGCUAAAUUCCCACACACACAAAAGAAAAGAUGAGUCUAUGCCCAGGACCACCAGAUAAUUGAGUCCUGUACAAAAGCUUCUGACUAAACAAUGUGCUCUGGCUCAGGACUAUACAGAGAAAAGACACAGUUUUUAAAUUGAUCGUUCAAAAGGAAACAUAUUUAUGAUAUUUGCUCCAUGAUAUGUAUCUCUCAUCUGUUAGCUCAGGCAGAAUUAAAAUGCUAGACAAUAAUGUUCCAUGCCACUAUGCUUACUCGGGUCUCUCACAUUGGUGUACUUCUGGCACAAAGUCACAUGACAUUUGAGUAAUAGCUGUCUCCCAUGUGGACUUUACACCACAUGAUGUCAGGGGCCAUUCAUUCUAUUCCAAUUACAUAAAUCAUAGAUUAGGAUAGGUCUUGGCAAGGACUGGGUACUAUAUGAAUAUUUUUGAGUAAAUGUAUGAGCACAAAAUAUUUUAUGUGGUUAUGUAUCUAGUAAAACAUGCAAGGCUAACAUAUCCUCUUUCAUUAGACUUCAAGAAAACUCCAGCGAAUAUUUAUCAGAAAAAGAAAACCAGGAAAAAUGAAAGAAGUAAUAAAAUUAAAAUCUCGUACAGACCAAAAAUAAAUGAUACAGAGCAUUUAGGUAGUCAGAAGCUGUGCUAACUGGUUUCCAAACAAGGUAAAGAACAGCCUGCUAGGAACACACUGUAUCUCAAAGGGCAAAACAAUAACGUCAAACCUUUCUCCUCUGCAUUGCAAAUACCAUUUGCAUUUCAAUGACACUACACUCUAAAGAAUAUGCUCUACUAAGUUUGUUAGAUAAGCCGCAUGUGCUGUGUUUCAAAUCACAUAGUAAUAAAAGUGUUCCAGUUCUUUGAUAGAUUUACGUAAUUCCCUAACUGGACUACCAUUGAUUCCCCUUAAGAAAGGUAUAUAGACUCUCUAUGAAAAAUAGAGUUUCUUAAAUCCAGCUUCCUAUGUGGAAAGUAUUAUUACUUUAUAGGAAAAUAAUUUCUAGCUGUUUUCCUGUUGUUCCCAAGAGUCUUUCCAAUUUCUUUAUAUAUCUGUCUUAGAAUGUUCAAUUUUCUCAAGCCCCUUAAAAAAUCAUUCUUGCUUUUCUACUCAUUUCCACUUGUUAAACUUGACCCAGUUUUCUCUUGGUUUCAUAUUUUACCAUUCAACUUUUAUUCCACUCUCUACCCUCUCCAACUCCCCUAAAUAAAUUGUUUUUUCAGGUCAUAAUACCCCUAUUUGUUUUUCCUACACAACGGGUAAGCUCAGAUGGAACAUUAUCGAAUGGUGAAAAGCAUAAGUUUGUCUUAGGACACAAAGUUUCUAACAAAGAUUGAUUCUUCUCAUAUGAAAUAACUGCUUCUUUAUACUUUUCAUGGCAUUUUAGAAUACAGGGUAGGAUUGCAGUCCCUGAAAUGUACCAAUUCUGAAUUAAACUAAUUAAUUAAUUAAUUUUCUUAGCACCCCACAGAGAUUGUGCCAUCACUUUUUUGUAUCAUGCUGCCCCUGAUUUUCCUCCUAGUGGGCCCGAAACAUCCAUCUUUCCACGAGUGUGGUCAGGAGAUUAGGACUGUUAUAAAUGAAGUGCAAAGAGAUUUACUAUUCCAAGCAGAAUUUUGCAGUCAGUAAGAUGUUAAAGAUUAUCUAAAGAAUAUCAAGUCAAAUCCAGAAGUCUCAGCUGAAGGUGUUUCUUCUUUAACAUACAGAUUUUAUACUGCCCAUCAAUGAGGGUAGGCCUUGGGACAGAUUUAUUCUAAGAAAUGAGGAUAGAGUAGAGAAAGAAAAAGUCUGAAGCUCUUCUUAUGGGGCUGCAGAGCUGGGAGACUUUCAGAAAUAUGAGAAAGGAAAUAAGAGAGGCAGAUGACACAUGAGUUUUCAUGUUUUCUCUCCAAACAGAUAGGCAGUCUGGAAAAGCUAAGGAUGUGGGCUUUUGACUAGAAUAAUGUUUGGGACUCUGAAAGGGGUUUGCCUUGGAUGACUGCCCUGCACAGCUUCAAGAUGGCCACAUCGGGGGAAACACAGUGGCACAGUGUGGUGACAGAGGGCUGAUGUUCAGUAUCUGAGUCAUUCUUCAUGUGUGGCAUGAAUAGAGCUAUUUGUUCUAAGGAGGGACUUUGGAGGUGGCUAAAUGGAGUUGGAUAGUCUGCCAUGUGGCCAGUUUUGUUGGUGAUUCUGCAGAUGAACUACCUGCACCAGGAGUCUGAGGGAGGAUGUUACAGGAAUGCAGAGAGGUCUACAGUACAAGUAGGAGUUAAAAUGAGGUCAACUCUCAGCCUGGCAUGGUGACUUGGGCCUGUAAUCCCAGAAUUUUGGGAGUCUGAGGUGGGAGGAUUGCUUGAGCUCAGGAGUUUGAGACCAGCCUGGGCAACAUAGCCAAACCAUCUCUACAAAAAAUAAAAAAAUUAUGUGAGUGUGGUGGUGAGCACCUGUAGAUCCAGCUACUUGGGAGGCUGAAGUGGGAGGAGUGCUUGAGCCUGGGAGGCCAAGGCUGCAGUGAGCCAUGAUUGCAUCACUGCAGUCCAGCCUGAGUGACAGAGCAAAACCCUGUCUCAAAAAAAAAAAAAAAAAAUGAGGUCAACUCAGCCACUGAUUACUGCUAGAUGCUGACCAAGUUAGAGAGGACAACCCAGUGGAUUAAACCUUUCUCCAAAUUAAGCCACAUUGCUAGCAUGUCAGUGAUGAUCAAGAGGUCAAAGUAGUGAGUGAGGGCUAAAGAAGUGAGAGCACACUUAAUAUCAGAAAUAUUUCAGUCCAUGGGCAAAAGGAUAUUCUUACCAUGGGUAAGAGGAGGAAGUUUGCAGAAAUCUGAAACACUGAAACAAUUCUCUUAAAGACACUGGGAAAGGCUUCAGUGUCCAAACUGUUUUAAACCAAAUGAGUCUGUUUUUAAUUUUUUCUCCAACUGGAGAAAAUUGAAAAUUGUUUUGGUUGGGGCCAAGGGUGAAGGAGUCUUGAAGAACAUUGGAUCAGAUAUACCAAAUGACCAAUUUGAUAGAUUGAUUGAUUGACUAAUUUUUUUUUAAACUUUUAAGUUACUAUGGGAGUAAAUUCAUUACUUUGCUACAAAUGUUGUGGGAAAGUGGACAAGUCAAUGCACUACUGUGAAUACUUAUUCACUAAUUCACGUUUCCAUUUGGAAAAAUAAAGGAGUUGGGCUGCAUAAUUCUUAAGGUCUUCUUUAGUUGAGAGAACCUAUAUGUAUUUAUAGUCUGUCCUUCUUAUGUAGAGAACACGAAUGUCUAAUUAUUUACAUUUAUUUUUAUGAUAGAAUUAAAACGAUGUAUUAAGCUGGCCUUUUUUCAGACAUACUUGCAACCAGAGUCAUCAAUUUUGAAGACAGCAACCAAGCCAAGCAAUGUGAGGUUACAGCUAUGAAAUAGAACAGAGAUGUCUAGACUAUAGACACAGCCUGCCGUUUUGUGCUGAUUGGUAAAGUGUUCCAGCCAACUGGAAGCAAAUAUUUCUCAGAAGCAGUUUCCUGCUCUCAUCCUCUCCUCGCCAUGCCCACUGUGCCCAACAUGGCUCCAGCUGGGUCACAGAAGACUUUGUCCUGGAAUACAGCAUUUCCCUAUUUAAAUCUCUAACUUUGUAUGUACUCUUUUCAAUAAAAGCAUAUUUUUCAUUACCAUUCUGACCAUACUCCCUUCUCUGCUGGCUCCACAGCUAAGGUUUCUGCACCUGUUCCAUAACUUCUGGGAUCUGUCUCUGUUGCUGCACGUAUGCAUUCCAUAAGCAUUAAUAGAUCCAUUCACUCUUCUGAAAUCUGGGCAGCUUAAAUCAUAUUACAUCUAACGUAUUUUUACUAGAGUCAGUUCUACCCCCCGACUCUUGAGUGCACACACAGGCACUUCUCUGUAAGUUCCUUGAGGUCAGAAAUAGUCCCCUAGUCAGCCUUCUGCCUUCUGUAGUUCCUGGUCCAUCAAGGUGCAGAGUACAUAUUCCACAGAUAAAUAGAUAACUCUCAUUCAAUGCUCUGAUCUUUCCUUUAUCUUGUUUCCCUGGAUAUUCCUCUUUCACGGCUCUUUUCUAUUUAAUUU